rnacentral:rRNA from 1 species
AUUGAACGCUGGCGGCAGGCCUAACACAUGCAAGUCGAGCGAGCGGCGGACGGGUGAGUAAUGUCUGGGAAACUGCCUGAUGGCGGGGGAUAACUACUGGAAACGGUAGCUAAUACCGCAUACCAUCAGAUGUGCCCAGAUGGGAUUAGCUAGUAGGUGGGGUAACGGCUCACCUAGGCGACGAUCCCUAGCUGGUCUGGGAGGAUGACCAGCCAAACUGGAACUGAGACACGGUCCAUACUCCUAUGGUAGGCAGCAGUGGGGAAUAUUGCACAAUGGGCGCAAGCCUGAGGCAGCCAUGCCGGGUGUGUGAAGAAGGCCUUCGGGUUGUAAAGCACUUUCAGCGGGGAGGCGUUACCCGCAGAAGAAGCACCGGCUAACUCCGUGCCAGCCGCCGCGGUAAUAC